rnacentral:rRNA from 1 species
UACGUAGGGUGCAAGCGUUGUCCGGAAUUAUUGGGCGUAAAGAGCUCGUAGGCGGUUUGUCGCGUCGAAUGUGAAAACCCGGGGCUCAACCCCGGGCCUGCAUUCGAUACGGGCAGACUAGAGUUCGGUAGGGGAGUCUGGAAUUCCCGGUGUAGCGGUGAAAUGCGCAGAUAUCGGGAGGAACACCAGUAGCGAAGGCGGCACUCUGGGCCGGUACUGACGCUGAGGAGCGAAAGCGUGGGGAGCAAACAGG